rnacentral:lncRNA from 1 species
AAUUACCACAGGAUAAAUCUGGAGUAGAUAAACCACAACUGGAUAAGAGAACGCCCACCACAGUGCCUCCUCAAGAAGAGAAGAAACCUUCAGAACCAGCAGCAAAGCCUGCUCCUACUCCUCCUCCUCUUUCAGUCACGGUGGAUGUUCCUCCAGCUAAAGCCUAUCCCGUGGAGAAGAUAAAGGCUGCCCGGGUGGAGAAGAAAAGUCCCCCACCCGCAAGCAUGGAGAACUCUCCUCCUGAAGGUACCAUCUCUUGGCAUCUAUUCUUCUGUCUGUUGCUCGGCUGAAGCACCUCUUAA